AUUGAACGCUGGCGGCAGGCCUAACACAUGCAAGUCGAGCGAGCGGCGGACGGGUGAGUAAUGUCUGGGAAACUGCCUGAUGGCGGGGGUUAACUACUGGAAACGGUUGCUACUACCGCAUACCAUCAGAUGUGCCCAGAUGGGCUUAGCGAGUAGGUGGGGUAAUGGCUCACCUAGGCGCCGAUCCCUACCUGGUCUGAGAGGAUGACCAGCCACACUGGAACUGGGACACGGCCCAGACUCCUACGGGAGGCAGCAGUGGGGAAUAGUGGACAAUGGGCGAAAGCCUGAUGCAGACAUGCCGCGUGUGUGAAGAAGGCCUUCGGAUUGUAAAGCACUUUCGGCGGGGAGGCGUUACUCACAGAAGAAGCACCGGCUAACUCCGUGCCAGCCGCCGCGGUAAUAC
rnacentral:rRNA from 1 species